AGCCCAACAAAGUAUUCGUUACGUGGUUCACACUUUUGCUGCUGUGUUCACCGUCACUACAACGUGACAAUAUGGAACAACUGCUUGCUUCGACGAGACGUAGUACGAAGCAGCAUGCCUCGUCGUAAGAGGCUCACGUUGGCGAGGCCCGAUAAUGCCGACGAAAGUCCUUCACAUCGGCUAACCGAUGAUUAGAAGCGCACCGUGAUGCUCCGAGGAAUCGGAUGAGAGCCCAAGGCGAUCGACGGACGUCGCGAGACGGACUGAGACUGACGAUUAAGAAGCAGCUCGUGGCGCCCGAUGUUCACCACGGCAAGCUGAAAUCCCUCGAGAUUAUGGCCGUUCACGUCUGCUCAUGCGGUCGUCAACGCAUUAAGAGCACACAUUCAAGUAAUCCAGCUGUUCAAAAUAUCGAAAACUGCCAAUACAUCAGAGACAAAAAAAAAAAGUUGUAAGUUUCUUCUUCCUUCUAUUUUCCAAGUGGUCUCAUGCUCCUGCGCAUUCUCAUUGUCCGCAGUACUCUAGGCUAUGUUUGUCUUCGGGGCCUUAUUCCUUGAACUGUUCGUAAAAACCAGGCGUUAUAGCUCUUGUCCAUGUCCUGCUGAGUACACCGGUUCUCGUCCGGCAACAAAUGCUAAGCACCAAUUAUACAGGUCAGUAUUUGGGAGACAGAACACCUCCCGAUUAUCCCCCCCCCCCUUUAAUUAGUAAAGGGUGCGACACAUUGAGUUAUCAUUGAUUUUAUGGGGAACAGUGCUUUUUCGCAGUGCGAGAUGCAGUAUUUGACAGCGCGGGCUUUACAGCAGAGUGCACGAAAACAUGUGAACAAGCACAAACUGAAACACAACUGAAAUACCACAGCACAUUCUAAUAAAUUGUAUCAUCUUUAACCCACCAAAGUGUCCUCCUUAGUUGUCGGCAUUUAUUUGUUUAAGACACCGGUCCAAUAUUUCAGAUUAAUAGUACCUUAUAGGUGUGAUACAAUGUACACGUUACACCGAGAUCAAAGCGAAAUAAUAUCAUUGAGCAUUUGCUUCUUUAUAACAUUACCGAGCUUCUUGAAGGCAACUGAACUAGAUGAGGGCUUGUGACUAUAUUGACACGUGUACUUCUUUAUUAGAACGCAA